CCCUUAGAUGUUCUGGGCCGCACGCGUGCUACACUGAACGGUUCAAUGGGUAAGGUAGUGCGAAAGCAUGACCUAAUCUCGAAAUCCGUUCGUGCUGGGGAUAGAAGCUUGCAAUUAUCCUUCUUGAACGAGGAAUACCUUGUAAGCGUGAGUCAUCAUCUCACGCUGAAUACGUCCCUGCCCUUUGUACACACCGCCCGUCGCUCCUACCGAUUGAGUGUUCCGGUGAGGCUUUGGGAGAAUGGCCUCAACAUGAGUUUAUCGUGUUUUGCCGUUUGAACUUAGUCAAACCUUACCACUUAGAGGAAGGAGAAGUCGUAACA
rnacentral:rRNA from 1 species